rnacentral:rRNA from 1 species
AGCAAUACAUGGGUGGCGAGUGGCGCACGGGUGCGUAACACGUAUGCAAUUUGCCCAUAACUGGGGGAUAGCCCUCCGAAAGGAGGAUUAAUACCCCAUAACCCAGCGAGGUGGCAUCACCUUUCUGGUAAAUCUCCGGAGGUUAUGGAUGAGCAUGCGUCUGAUUAGCUAGUUGGUGAGGUAACGGCUCACCAAGGCAACGAUCAGUAGGGGGUCUGAGAGGAUGAUCCCCCACACGGGUACUGAGACACGGACCCGACUCCUACGGGAGGCAGCAGUAAGGAAUAUUGGACAAUGGAGGCAACUCUGAUCCAGCCAUGCCGCGUGAAGGAUGAAGGCCCUACGGGUUGUAAACUUCUUUUCUCUUAGAAAAAACUACUGGUUUCGUACCGGUACUGAUUGUACAAGAGGAAUAAGCAUCGGCUAACUUCGUGCCAGCAGCCGCGGUAAUACGAAGGAUGCAAGCGUUAUCCGGAUUCACUGGGUUUAAAGGGUGUGCAGGUGGGGUAAUAAGUCGGUGGUGAAAGCCCCCGACUCAAUCGGGGAACUGCCAUAGAUACUGUUAUUCUUGAGUGUGGUUGAGGCGGAUGGAGUAUGACAUGUAGCGGUGAAAUGCUUAGAUAUGUCAUAGAACACCGAU